UACGAAGGGGCUAGCGUUGCUCGGAAUCACUGGGCGUAAAGCGCACGUAGGCGGAUUGCUAAGUCAGGGGUGAAAUCCUGGAGCUCAACUCCAGAACUGCCUUUGAUACUGGCGAUCUUGAGUCCGGGAGAGGUGAGUGGAACUGCGAGUGUAGAGGUGAAAUUCGUAGAUAUUCGCAAGAACACCAGUGGCGGAGGCGGCUCACUGGCCCGGUACUGACGCUGAGGUGCG
rnacentral:rRNA from 1 species